GCAGCCUCUGCCUCUAGUGGCAGAGGAAGGGCAAAGGCCUUUGUGCCUGAGGCCCGUGGCCACCAAGAGCUUCGCACACCUGCUCUGGGCAUCCUUGGCAAACAGGACAACGCAGCAAGGACAGGCAAAUGGAAACGUCCUCCACCAAGCCCAGCCAUCAGUGACACAGCAGUGAAAGACACGGCGAGAUCCCUUCUGCCACAAGUCCAGAGACAAACUAUGGCUGAAUGCCACAGACGGCAGGACGUGACACAAGCCCAACAAGCAGCAAGGGCAGCAAGAGCAGCCAAAGCCCAGGAGGCCAUGAACAGAAUGCACAUCAGAGCUCAAGCACGGCCUGAUCCCCAGGUGCGUGAAGCAGCAACGGCUGCCCACAGAGAAGCUCUGCUGGCUUCCUCAGGCAGGGGCAACGUGCCAGGGCACCAGGGAGGGAUGCGUGCCAGACAGCAUGCAGAAGUGCUGAGAGCAUGCCCCCCGUGCCUACUGAGAGGCGCUGUGCUGUGGAUGCACCAUGAGUCUCGAAGGGCAUGUCAAAAGUUCCUGUUAUCGGAGAAGACAGAGAUGCUGAAGGAGCUGGGUCGGAGUUGCGGUUCCUGCACAGGGCAUAGCGUAGCCGACCUCAUGGAAAUUGUAAGGCAGAUAAAGAAGCAGCAUGAGCGGAAAGCAGGGCAGCAAGUCCCGUGUGUUUCACAGUGUGAGCCACGGGACUUGGCAGAGGAGGAUGAGCUGGGAGACGGUGGUGAUGAUGAAGAGCCAAAGAUCAACUACCACUGGGUCAACCCCAGGAUCACAGGCUUCUGCCAGGAUCCACAGGCUCCUCCUCAGCAAACACUCGGCUCUUCCAGCAUCACAGCCUCAGAGGCUUCAGGAGAGUCAGAUGGCCGGGCACAGAGCACAGCUCUUCCUGCGUCGAGGCACGCAGAUGCCGAGGCAAAAGCUUCUGCCCUGGCUGGAGGUCCCUGCGAUGAUGGCAACGGGACAGCUGUGCCCACGGCGACGCAGCAAGAAGAGAAUGCUUCAG
rnacentral:lncRNA from 1 species